rnacentral:rRNA from 1 species
CGUAAUAAUAGAAACUAACCAGGAUUCCCUUAGUAACGGCGAGUGAACUGGGAUACCAACAAAAUACAUGUGCCUCGCGCACAUGAUUUAGCCCGUCGAUACUAUCCUAGCAUAUUACCGGUCUCGGCCGGUAACUCAAUAUGCGGGAAUUGUAGCAUCGUAAUAAAAAUAAAAUAUAUACACGCACACACCCACCGCGUACAUUCUUGUAAACACACAGCGUCUCCGCGUUGGAAAGCAAGUUUAUAUCCUCUUUGGAUAUGCCAUAGAGUGUGACAGCCACGUUUCACUCAUAACCGUACGCACACACACACGCCCCGUGCACUAAUAUAUAUUUCUAUAACCUGAGUCGAGUUAUUU